GCCAGUGUGACCGAGUGGUUUAAGGUGCCAGAUUUAAGAUUCUCAAAGAAUAAAACCCUGGUGGGGCAACCCGCGCGAGUUCGAACCUCGUCGCUGGCA
rnacentral:tRNA from 1 species